GAUUCUGCCCUACGGGGAAGGAUGAGAAGCUUCGACUAAGGUUCGACUCGAGCGCCAGCGAGAGAAC
rnacentral:sRNA from 1 species